UGACAGCUUUUUCUGUAUCUGAGGGUAUAUAAGAGCUCCAUAUUCAAAUUUUUUAUAGAAAAAAAUGUAUAAUAUCUCUAGACAGUAGUUUUACUGUUUUUCUCUUUGAUUAAUCAACUUCUUAUUCCUUUUCCACAGACAUAUGAUAUUGGAGGAGGAAAGCUAAGAAGAGCUGUGUCCUUAGCUGAUCAUGAUUUAUGGAAAACACCAACCAGAUCUGUCAGUAGACAGUCUCUUCUCAGUGACAGCGUGAGCCUACCAAUAACUCCAGUAAGGACUCCAGAGGAUGACGAUUCUCUAAUAAACUUUGAAACUCAACAACAAGCAAUAAAACUUCAACAUCCCGUGGGUCGAAGAUCAUUGAUGCCUCUCAUCAGAAUAUAAUUCGGGUCAUUACUUACUUGUAGUUCACGCUUUUUUGUUUGUAAAAUCAUGAAAAAGUAUAGGAUAUCAUCUCUAUGAUGUCAGUCCAUAAAGGGUAUCCCAAAAGUCCCAUCCACCCCCUCCAAAAUUUUUCCUAAAUAAUAUUUUGAAACGAAACUUUGGGGAUGUUCAUAGAUCAAUGUUAGCUACUUUUGGGGCCCCCAAAAAUUUAACUGCCCCCCCCCCCCAUUGAGAAGGGCUGUGGACUCCAACUUUUUUUUUCAAAUGGCAACCCCCCCUUUGUGACACAUCAAUCGAAAGAGGAUGAACAAAAAAUUGGCGCAAACCGCAAGUCAAAAUCUUAAUUUUUGAGAAAAUGGCGGCCAGUCAAAGCUCAAAAUAACGGAAAUUUCGCAUCUCCGUUUUUAUAAUUAAUGUAACGAUUUCAUAAAUUCUCCAUUUUUGUUGACGGAUUGGGACGAGACCUGGUGUCCGGUGGUUUUUAGGGUCGAGAUAAACGAUUCUGGCAUUAGUUUUCCGGAAAAUUUUGUCUUUUUCAAAAUGGCGGCGGUCAAAAUGGCGAUCUAGAGCGGCAAGAGAAUAUUUAGACUGCUUAUCGGUGGCUUUGCAUGAAACUUGGUAUCCUGGAGCAUGUCGACAUGAAAAAAAACGAAUCUUUCAUUGGACAUUGGAAAUUCUGCAUAACUUCAAGAUGGCGCCGGAAAAGUGGCGGAAAAUUGGUAUUACGGACGCUUACAGUUGGAUUCGCAUGAAACUCGGCCGCCAUUUUGAUAGUUUAUAACAUUUCAAAAAUGUAAUGCGAGAAAGUCAUUUUUGUCGAAUAGAAACCAACAGGACUCCGAGGUUUAUGCGAAUCCCACCGUAAGCGUCCGUAAUACCAAUUUUCCGCCACUUUUCCGGCUACAUCUUGAAGUUAUGCA
rnacentral:lncRNA from 1 species